ensembl:lncRNA
GAGGAACUGACUCAAACUUUUUCCAGACUUCCCCCCCUGUGGAAAUUUACAUUUCCAUAGUCCUAUCAACUGUCAUGUGAUUGACGCAAUUCUCCAUUUGUCACUGGAGUUGGGUACUUAAAAAAAAAAACGUUCAUUUCCAAGUGUAAUUUCUUCAUGCUAAUGCACGGCCAAUAAGACACAGCCCCGCAUUGGGUCUGAGUAUUGCGUGUGCCAGAACUGGUGACUACCAGCGGGAUCAUUGGGGAAAGCCUUGCUCUUUUGAAUAGGAGGAGACCAUGACCUCUGACCUUUCACCUGGGCGGGUGAGUGUUCCAGGUUGACGUAAUUGCAAAGCCUCUUGUUGAGGUUAAUGGUCACUGUGUGAAGCUGCUGCUGCUGUAUCAGCACCCGAUGAAUUAUGCUGCUCACCUCUGUGGGGAUUACACGCCCUAAUCCUUCUGCAGGGAAGGAAGGGGAUGUGAGUGAUAGGGAGGGGAUGUGAGUGAUAGGGAGGGGAGGUGAGUGAUAGGGAGGGAAUGUGAGUGAUAGGGAGUGAAUGUGAGUGAUAGGGAGUGAAUGUGAGUGAUAGGGAGGAGACGUGAGUGAUAGGGAGGGGACGUGAGUGAUAGGGAGGGGAUGUGAGUGAUAGGGAGGGGAUGUGAGUGAUAGGGAGGGGAUGUGAGUGAUAGGGAGGGGAGGUGAGUGAUAGGGAGGGGAUGUGAGUGAUAGGGAGGGGACUUGAGUGAUAGGGAGGGGAUGUGAGUGAUAGGGAGUGAAUGUGAGUGAUAGGGAGGGGAGGUGAGUGAUAGGGAGGGGAUGUGAGUGAUAGGGAGGGGAUGUGAGUGAUAGGGAGGGGAUGUGAGUGAUAGGGAGUGAAUGUGAGUGAUAGGGAGGGGAGGUGAGUGAUAGGGAGAGGAGGUGAGUGAUUGGGAGUGAAUGUGAGUGAUAGGGAGGGGACAUGAGUGAUAGGGAGGGGAUGUGAGUGAUAGGGAGUGAAUGUGAGUGAUAGGGAGGGGAGGUGAGUGAUAGGGAGGGGAGGUGAGUGAUUGGGAGUGAAUGUGAGUGAUUGGGAGUGAAUGUGAGUGAUAGGGAGGGGACAUGAGUGAUAGGGAGGGGAUGUGAGUGAUAGGGAGUGAAUGUGAGUGAUAGGGAGGGGAGGUGAGUGAUAGGGAGGGGAGGUGAGUGAUAGGGAGGGGACGUGAGUGAUAGGGA